UCCCCUAGUAACGGCGAGUGAAGCGGGAAGAGCUCAAGCUUAAAAUCUCCAUGUUUUACAUGGCGAAUUGUAGUCUAUUGAGGCUGUUGUCAGCAUAGCGAUUUGGGAUAAGUCCCUUGGAAAAGGGCAGCACAGAGGGUGAUACUCCCGUCUUUGCUCAGAUUGUCUAUGUGUACGAUACGCUUUCUUUGAGUCGAGUUGUUUGGGAAUACAGCUCAAAGUAGGUGGUAAAUUCCAUCUAAAGCUAAAUAUUGGUGCGAGACCGAUAGCGAACAAGUACCGUGAGGGAAAGAUGAAAAGAACUUUGAAAAGAGAGUUAAAGAGUACCUGAAACUGUUGAAAGGGAACCGUAACAUGUCCAGUGUUGUAUCUUGUGCAUAUUUCAUUAGUGGAGUAAUUUACUGGUGCCCUGUGCAUAAGUGUGACGUCAAAGUCAGUUUGUAUGCUGCGGGAGAUGGUUAACAAGGAGGUGCGUCGCUUUUGUGUCAGUUAUACCUUGUUAUCUAGUAGCCGUGGUUGAGACUGAGGUGCCUACAACAUGCUUAUAGAGUAUAUUGUUGUCUCGUUAUUAUACCUGUUUGGAUAGCUUGCUAUGCUGAUGGUCUAUAGUGGCGAUUGAUGAUGGUAUUAACUUUUUGCUGUUCGGGACUUUGAC
rnacentral:rRNA from 1 species